ensembl:lncRNA
GCCAGAGAUCCAAGUAGAAAUAAAUACCCUGUUUUUGCCAGCGCCCUGCCGCGGAGAGUUAAGACAAGCCCUGUCGUCUGCGGGCUCUCACCUCAGAGUCAAUAUUAUCUCAGAUGGGCACAAUAGACUGGAAUGAAAAGCUAAUAUUGAACCAACGCGGUCCCUGCCGCGCCGCGCCGAUGCCACCCUUUGUCGCGCAGCCCCCGUAAAUCAGGAUGGGGUAUGUGGAGAGACUGACAGUUUUGAUGUGAUGAAGGAGGUAAAACUCAGUGGUCCUGCAUGUGCCUCCUGGAGCUGUGCAGAAUUCCCGAGGAAACGUUGACUCUCAACAGGAAUAUCAAGGGAGAUCCCGAGGCUCACGGCUCUCCGCUGGCAUCUGGACAGUGCCUGUCUCCUGCAGCCACCCCGGGCAGCAGAGGCCGGGACCAGCGUUGAGAUCCGCCUGCCAGGACUCGGCCCCUCGAGCCGCCCGAAGAGUUUGGAGAAGCGGAGUGACUGGGAAUCACAGUGAAUUACCGAACUUCCUAACUUGCCUCCCCGUCUCUGGUCACCUUUUGCCAGCCUUGGACCCGGGAGAGGGCUCACCCUUCGCCGGCAGCCGGCAGCGGCGCUUCCCGCGCGGCGCCGCUGACGCACAGUGAAGACUCAGAGCUUUGGCUGGUCCGGAGACUCCAAACCCGGGUGACCUGGGUAUGGCGCGGUGCUCAUGGGCCAGAGCGCACAAGGCUCGGGUUGCAAAUGCUGUAACUAAAAUGUGAUGAGCGCAAACAGUGUGCCAAGCUCACCUAUUCAACAACCAUUAAGAUAUUGAUAUUUCCUUUUCACGGAGGCGACAGCCAAGGCUGGAGAAAAUGGAAUCAUACAGCCCUGAACCCAGAGGACUCCUACGCACCCCCAGUCAGGGCCCACUCCAGAGCAAUGGGAGAGGGAGCGGGCCCUCGGGCGGCUGUUCCUCGGAAGUGUAAGGGCCAGACAAACUCCGAGCAGCGAGCAGCGGUUCUCAGAGCUCCCCAGGAAUCUCUGCCCUUUGUCGCUCCAGUGAGCUAGGACUCCAGGCUCCUCUCACCCUGGCACCUCCUAAAGGAACUUCAGGGCCUCUGCUGGAGCUUGGAGCAGCGUCAGACCGGCGUUAACUCAUUUGUACAACUUGAUUGUUCAGUCUUUGAAGACCAGCAUCUUGCCUUGUGUGGGUAGACAAUAACAGCCACAUCCAGGACAGGAGCUUUUACUGAAGAUCAUUAUGUGCCAGGCAUUGUCUGAACGCUUUAGUUUUUCUCAUUAAAUAAUUCCAAGGAUCGACAUACUAGUCCUUAUUCCCAUUCGAGGGAAGAAGAACAGAGGCACAGAGGGGUUAAGUAACCUGACCAAGGUCACACAAUAAUUCUGUGAAUACAAGUCUCUCUUUUUUUUGGAGGGGGCAGUUUUAUUA